rnacentral:tRNA from 5 species
CAAAAUAUAGCUUAACAAAAGCCCCCCGCUUACACCGAGGAGUUAUCUGUUUGACCCAGAUUAUUUUGA